rnacentral:rRNA from 1 species
AGAGUUUGAUCCUGGCUCAGGAUGAACGCUAGCGGCAGGCUUAACACAUGCAAGUCGAGGGGUAUAAGUCUUCGGAUUUAGAGACCGGCGCACGGGUGCGUAACGCGUAUGCAAUCUACCUUUUACAGAGGGAUAGCCCAGAGAAAUUUGGAUUAAUACCUCAUAGUAUAUAGAGUUGGCAUCAACACUAUAUUAAAGUCACAACGGUAAAAGAUGAGCAUGCGUCCCAUUAGCUUGUUGGUAAGGUAACGGCUUACCAAGGCUACGAUGGGUAGGGGUCCUGAGAGGGAGAUCCCCCACACUGGUACUGAGACACGGACCAGACUCCUACGGGAGGCAGCAGUGAGGAAUAUUGGUCAAUGGACGCAAGUCUGAACCAGCCAUGCCGCGUGCAGGAUGACGGUCCUAUGGAUUGUAAACUGCUUUUGCACAGGAAGAAACAACUCUACGUGUAGAGUCUUGACGGUACUGUGAGAAUAAGGAUCGGCUAACUCCGUGCCAGCAGCCGCGGUAAUACGGAGGAUCCAAGCGUUAUCCGGAAUCAUUGGGUUUAAAGGGUCCGUAGGCGGUUUAGUAAGUCAGUGGUGAAAGCCCAUCGCUCAACGGUGGAACGGCCAUUGAUACUGCUAAACUUGAAUUAUUAGGAAGUAACUAGAAUAUGUAGUGUAGCGGUGAAAUGCUUAGAGAUUACAUGGAAUACCAAUUGCGAAGGCAGGUUACUACUAAUGGAUUGACGCUGAUGGACGAAAGCGUGGGUAGCGAACAGGAUUAGAUACCCUGGUAGUCCACGCCGUAAACGAUGGAUACUAGCUGUUGGAAGCAAUUUCAGUGGCUAAGCGAAAGUGAUAAGUAUCCCACCUGGGGAGUACGUUCGCAAGAAUGAAACUCAAAGGAAUUGACGGGGGCCCGCACAAGCGGUGGAGCAUGUGGUUUAAUUCGAUGAUACGCGAGGAACCUUACCAAGGCUUAAAUGUAGAUUGACCGGUUUGGAAACAGACUUUUCGCAAGACAAUUUACAAGGUGCUGCAUGGUUGUCGUCAGCUCGUGCCGUGAGGUGUCAGGUUAAGUCCUAUAACGAGCGCAACCCCUGUUGUUAGUUGCCAGCGAGUCAUGUCGGGAACUCUAACAAGACUGCCAGUGUAAACUGUGAGGAAGGUGGGGAUGACGUCAAAUCAUCACGGCCCUUACGCCUUGGGCUACGCACGUGCUACAAUGGCCGGUACAGAGAGCAGCCACUGGGCGACCAGGAGCGAAUCUACAAAACCGGUCACAGUUCGGAUCGGAGUCUGCAACUCGACUCCGUGAAGCUGGAAUCGCUAGUAAUCGGAUAUCAGCCAUGAUCCGGUGAAUACGUUCCCGGGCCUUGUACACACCGCCCGUCAAGCCAUGGAAGCUGGGGGUGCCUGAAGUCGGUGACCGCAAGGAGCUGCCUAGGGUAAAACUGGUAACUAGGGCUAAGUCGUAACAAGGUA